rnacentral:rRNA from 1 species
UACAGAGGUCCCAAGCGUUGUUCGGAUUCAUUGGGCGUAAAGGGUGCGUAGGCGGCGCGGUAAGUCGGGUGUGAAAUCUCGGAGCUUAACUCCGAAACUGCAUUCGAUACUGCCGUGCUUGAGGACUGGAGAGGAGACUGGAAUUUACGGUGUAGCGGUGAAAUGCGUAGAUAUCGUAAGGAAGACCAGUGGCGAAGGCGAGUUUCUGGACAGAUACUGACGCUGAGGCACGAAGGCCAGGGGAGCAAACGGG